UUCUCACCUAGGUUUGAUACCUGUGGACCUUAUCUUGUCUCCAGCAGUACUUCAGAUGAGCUUCUUGCCCCAGAAUGUGAUUCUGAUGAUUAAGAUCAAUCUGUUCUCCAGCUUCGUCCCUUCUACCUACAUUGAGAAGAUGAGAAGAUGAGGUGAGAAGAUGAGAAAGGAGAGCCCAAGAACUUGUGAAACAGACAUCUAAACAGAUGGAUUUCCAAUUGCCACAGCAGAAGAGGAAACAACUGGAGGGUCAUUUGGACUGGGAGUAGGAUGUGUCCUUUUUACACACUCGCCCAUUGUCUAGAACUGGUUACAAGGAUCCUCCUAGAGAAAGGAGAAGAGAGAGAGCAACUCGGCUGUUCAGUGAGCAGUGUGUGUCUCUGGUACCAGUGGAUGUAGGACAAAUGUUCCCCUAACCUCGAUCUGAGUGCACUAUCACUUCUGUCUAGAGUAACCCAAAAAGGCCUGGGAGAGUGUUGUUUUGUUUUUUUAAAAAUUAAUUUUAUUGGUACAUUUUAGGUAUACAAUAUAAUGACAUUCAUCAGAGAGUAUUGUUUUUGAUGGAUCUUCUAGAAUGAGCAGUCCGUGGAAAGCAGUUUUGGGAGUAGUUAUUGCAAGACAACGCAACAGCACAGAAAUAAGAAAAUACCAAGUGUGUUAGAGAUCUACAUUACUAGAAAGAAUAGGAAGGCAUGGGAAUGGACACUGAAAGACUUCACUAGUCCCUUUGUAAAGAGCAACAUCUCUGUUAACAGGUUUAUACUACAGACAAACUUACUGAAUAUAUUCAAAGCUUGAAUUGAUAUUAUGGAAGAGGAUGGAAUAAUCUAACCAUGCCUACUAUAGAUAAGGGUUCUUCAAAGGAAAGUAAAGAUUUUCCCAUGGUCAUACAGCUGCUUAGUGAAAGAACCAUCAUUAAAAUGCAUGUUUCCUGACUCCAAAUUCAGAUUGCAUGAGGCUACUCUAAUGUUCUAGAAGUAGCUCACAGUAUGGAUGAGACAGUGGGUAGGCCAGAGAAGUGAAGACCUAUUUAGAUAAUUUUAUUGAUUUACUUUCCUGAAUGAAACAAAAAGACCCCUGAACUAGAGCAGUUAUCAAGAGGAAUGGAGAAUUACGUGACUGGAGUUAGAUGGUCCUUUUCCAUUCCUUCAUGAUUCCACAUGCAGUAUAAGGACUGCUUCUACUGCUGGUGAGAUUGGGAGGAAGAAACAAGCACAGGUGACUUAAUUUGAGUCUUCCUCUUCAUUGUCCUCCUCUGUUGUGCAGUGGGGAGAAACUGGUGGCAUAGCUUAGCUCAGACUGGGUGGGUGAUUUUAAUUCAUUAGGGAGUAAAAUGUUUGCCUGCUCAUGUGC